AAUAUAAAGAAAAGACGAACAGCUCAGUAACUCUUAUUUUAUUUGAUGUAUUAGGAUUAUAACUAUGUUAAAUUAUAGAUAACAAUAAUACAAUAAGAAUAAGAUCUAUCAGUUAGUUGUUAAGGUAAUGGCUUAACAAGACUAUGACGGAUAACGGUAUUACUUUGUAAUAUUCCGGAGAAGGAGCCUGAGAGAUUGCUACUAAGUCUAAGGAUUGCAGCAGGGGCGAAACUUGACCUAUGAUAUGAUAUUGAGGCAGUUAUGAGUAGUAUUUUUAAUUAUUGUAGUAUUGUAAGUAUAUACUACAAGAUAAAUCGGAGGGCAAAUCGAGUGCCAGCAGCCGCGG
rnacentral:rRNA from 1 species